GCCAAAGAUGGAUCGAUACAAGAAUCCCAAGUCACGCAAAGCAAUGCUGGAGUUGACAGUGGGGAAACUUUCGAGCUUCCUGAAGACAUGGAUGAACCAGACAGAAGGCCAUCAGAGGAAAAAACAGGAGAGACAGGGUCCUCCAAAAGAAAAAGGACGAAGGAGCGUUCUCGGUCUCCUCCAUAUUC